CUAAAUGUUUUGCUCAGAAGGAGAGGAGAUGGUAAAUGAUCGCUCCAAGCGUGCUUCGAUGAAAGCAAGCUUCUGAGGCCACACAAUCAAGUGGGAACUAAACAGUGGCAGACAAAUGAGCUGCUUAUGCCAGCGAGCUCUCAAAGCCAGCCAAGUUGAAGGGAAUACAAAAACACUGUCCAUUUACCUCGGGAGUUGAAUAAGAAGAGCCAAGGGGAGACAUCACAAAGCUUUCUGCUCCACCAGGGAACAGACUCUGGACAAUACCUUUAACUUCACCUGACGUUUAGCUCAUUCUUUGUGUUCCAUGUUCCAAGAU